UGGUCAAGUUAUUAAGGGUGCAGGGCGGAUGCCUUGGCACUAGGAGCCGAUGAAGGACGUGAUAAGCUGCGAUAAGCUUCGGGGAGUUGCACGUAAACUUUGAUCCGAAGAUUUCCGAAUGAGGAAACUCACUUAGAGUAAUGUCUAAGUAUCAUUAAGUGAAUACAUAGCUUAAUGAGGGGAACUCAGGGAACUGAAACAUCUAAGUACCUGAAGGAAGAGAAAGAAAUUCGAUUCCGUAAGUAGCGGCGAGCGAACGCGGAUUAGCCCAAACCAAUAAAGUUUUCUUUAUUGGGGUUG
rnacentral:rRNA from 1 species